rnacentral:rRNA from 1 species
CAGCAGCCGCGGUAAUACGUAGGGUGCGAGCGUUAAUCGGAAUUACUGGGCGUAAAGCGUGCGCAGGCGGUUAUAUAAGACAGAUGUGAAAUCCCCGGGCUCAACCUGGGACCUGCAUUUGUGACUGUAUAGCUAGAGUACGGUAGAGGGGGAUGGAAUUCCGCGUGUAGCAGUGAAAUGCGUAGAUAUGCGGAGGAACACCGAUGGCGAAGGCAAUCCCCUGGACCUGCACUGACGCUCAUGCACGAAAGCGUGGGGAGCAAACAGGAUUAGAUACCCGCGUAGUCCCUGUCUCUUAUAC